UACGUAGGUCCCGAGCGUUGUCCGGAUUUAUUGGGCGUAAAGCGAGCGCAGGCGGUUUGAUAAGUCUGAAGUUAAAGGCUGUGGCUCAACCAUAGUUCGCUUUGGAAACUGUCAAACUUGAGUGCAGAAGGGGAGAGUGGAAUUCCAUGUGUAGCGGUGAAAUGCGUAGAUAUAUGGAGGAACACCGGUGGCGAAAGCGGCUCUCUGGUCUGUAACUGACGCUGAGGCUCGAAAGCGUGGGGAGCGAACAGGAUUAGAUACCCCUGUAGUCCACGACU
rnacentral:rRNA from 1 species